rnacentral:rRNA from 1 species
CUUAUGCGUUGUUGGGUAGGGGAGCGUUCUGUAAGCCUGUGAAGGUGUGCUGUGAGGCAUGCUGGAGGUAUCAGAAGUGCGAAUGCUGACAUAAGUAACGAUAAAGCGGGUGAAAAGCCCGCUCGCCGGAAGACCAAGGGUUCCUGUCCAACGUUAAUCGGGGCAGGGUGAGUCGACCCCUAAGGCGAGGCCGAAAGGCGUAGUCGAUGGGAAACAGGUUAAUAUUCCUGUACUUGGUGUUACUGCGAAGGGGGGACGGAGAAGGCUAUGUUGGCCGGGCGACGGUUGUCCCGGUUUAAGCGUGUAGGCUGGUUUUCCAGGCAAAUCCGGAAAAUCAAGGCUGAGGCGUGAUGACGAGGCACUACGGUGCUGAAGCAACAAAUGCCCUGCUUCCAGGAAAAGCCUCUAAGCAUCAGGUAA